AAUAGAUAUAUGUAUAUGCACACACAUAUACGUAUAUGUACACACAAAGUCAGCUCACAUAGCUUCACUGGUUCUAUUGUUCUAGCUCAUUUAGGCGCGUUGGCUCUCCUUCGUGGACGAAUCAUAGCAGAUCACUCUGGCAGAUCAGGGUAGCCUUUUUGCCACAGCAUAAAAUUCGGGAGCUCGUGCGUUGUCUGUGCGCAACAACUACUCCUCUGAGUCACUGCUCUCCAAGAUACAGUCGUCCUCCCUGUUGAUGUGGUCUGUAUUCCUUCUUGAAAGUAUCACUCAACAUUUGAAAACAGCCAGGUUUCCUGCAGAAGCCACCCUUGUAUGAUUACUGCUGAUCGUGCGUUCCCUCACCUGUAAGAUCGUGUUGCCUGCUCUUUAUCAAAAUUGACAGGAGAGCAACGGCAUCAAAGACUUCUAUCUCACGAAAGGGGUGAGACUAGGCAAAUGAGUGCUAAGGAGACUGUGAAAGUCCUUGUGCAAGGAAAAGCUGAAACGGAAACUUUGUUCCUCAUGUCAGAUGAUUUCAGAGGCUCUCUCAAACUGAUUCUCUACGUGCCCGACUGUGAGAAUAGCUUCACCCUGCUUCAAUUCAGAUAUGAACUGGAUGCACAGUGAUGUAUCCAAUGCGGGAAGUAUAAUAAUGACAGCUCUGGGAACUGAGGCAGUGGCUGACAGUGAUUUAAAGGGGCCUGUUGAGAUUUCUGAUGCACUAUUUCAGCACACCAUUAUGAAGCUCCCAUUUGCUGAAUCAGAACUGCUUUUGUACAUCAGCCGUGCACAUGAACGAGCAAAGCAAGCAGGUUCUGAGCAAAGCAAGAGGUGCGGAAGUCUCAUUGAAGGAGACGAAGGCGAACGCUCAGCGCUCUGUUCGGCUCAGCCCAAACGCAAAACAGCCUGCACUCACUCUGCGCUCAAGGUGAGCUGAACUUGUCCUUUGGGUCGCUGCCUGCUACUUUUCAAGCAAUCCUGAUCUGGAACUAGCAGCAGAACCUGCCGGCCCCAGAAUCUCUAGCUCGUGUGCACACUAAGGCUAAACAGUAACCGUGGCAGUGUGCUCCCUCCAGUGGCAAAUGCGUCACAGUGAAAAUGAAAUGCGUUGUAUACCACACACGCCGGGAUGCUACUUAAGCGGCUGGAACAGCUCUGGUCAGAACAGACUGCUUAGCUCCUCCUUGGCCUUUCAGGACUUCAGCGGUCGCUCUCAAUGCCAGCCAGCAUCGUUCAGCUAUGACAAAGACAGAAUGCAGUUUUGCCCGCUGUUGAGACAGGCUUAACAUCCGUGUCCGAGAUGUGUGCUGACUUCUCUGCGUCCUGUCCUUUGAGUGUAAUCCCACAUUUUUUUCCCACAAAUUAAGAGGACAAUUCAAGCUUGCUCAUAAACUAAAGGACGUGACAGAUACCUGCCUACACACCUUACUGCUUGCGAGCCCAAACAAGGCAGAUCAGCGUUCUUGCCUCAUGCGCUAUUAUCCUUGCUUUUCACCGUGACACAGAGGAAGGAGCAACCAAUGGGCCUUUUUCGUCUAGCAUCUACUUUUGGACGUAGCCUUGGAUACUAAAAAGAAUCUGCCCGCGCCCUCAAGAAACUUAUCCUAGGCCCAUUUUACUCGAAUUUGAAACGAGAUAGAGGCCUUGGUGAGUUCAAAUGUUAUUGGCUGGAAGGAAGAGAGAGCUGAGAAACAGAUGAAACAGAAAAGGUCAAAAAGGCUAGUCCUUUUCUCUCAGGUCCAGCCAAAGCAGCUAGGUCUGCUGUUUUUGACCUCUUGCUUCCUUGGGACGCUCCCCGCUUCCCCUGUUUGAGUGUCCCUUGCAAAACUGCAUGGCUUUAAUGUUUGCAAAGCAGACUGAAGGCUCCGACUGGAUCGUGAGUUGUGCAUCAGCAGAUGCAGAAGUGGCUCAGGGCAUGAGCAAACAGUCUGACUCUCUGCUCUCCACUUCCCACAGCUAAUUGCUUUGUGUAAGCUCUCAGCUUGCAGUGGAAACGGAGGAUUUCAUCUGUUUUUGUGACUGCCAGGAGCUGACCUGUCAAGAAAAGGACCUACAAGUGCAAGGCUGACAAUAGCACUAACAAGCACUGAUACCACCAUUGGAAAUGCGUCCGCAGAGGAAAGCAAGCACAGUGGGGAAACAGAUGGAAGAAGAUCCAAAAAGAUGAGUCGUGGUGAAAUAUGGAUCCAAUCCCCUCAGACUGGCAGUAUGCAGUGGAAAUCAGCUGAGAAUAUCCCAGGUACUCUUGCCGUGUGAGCUGGAUGGUGAGAACCCAGUUUAGCAAUGCUGUGACGUAGGGUUAUCUGGAAGAGCCAAGAAUCUCCACGGGGUCUGAGCCCCUCCGUCUGACCCCCUUGCGUACAGAGGACAGCAUUACAUGUGUCCUUUGAAAUAACCAGCGUAACUCAUGUCCAGUGGUAAGUGCAAGUGUAGUGCCAGGCUCAUGGGCAAGAGAAUAAAAGGGUUCAAAUUCUAUCGCAGGAUAGUAAUCCAUAGGGGAUAAACUAUGGCCUACCUAAAAUUGAAUCGCCCAUCUCAUUGCAUUGGCCACAGAGUUUAAAGCACCUGGCCCCUUAACUUAGGCACUCCAGUUAGAGGCUUAAGGUUAGGUCUAGAUGUAAAUGUUUGGCCUGGGAGGGAAAACGUAGGCUAAUUCUCUUUGCUGUCCUGAAACAAAGUAAUAGUCAGGGGAGGAGGAGAGGAAGAGGGGGAUUGGUAGAUUAGGAAAUCACUCAAAGACUGUAAAGAUAAGGUGAUCUGGGCAUGACCUUAAGUCUAUGUUUUCAAUUUUUCAGAUGACUGGCUUUGACAUAUUUUAACUGUUUCCAGGUUUUCAGGUGUCUCAGUUUGCAGAACAGCUAUACUGGGAAAAGGAACAAGAUAACACAAAGCAAAGUUUACCUAGAUUGAUAAAGCUUUCAGUUGCUGAAAUUCCUGCAUGUUGUUUAAUACAGGAGGAAUGCUUCCUGUGGUACUAGGUGAUCAGGCACUUUAGUUUUAUUUCAUGUGUAGAUUGGAGUAGAGGUGGUGUGUGAUCCUUUAUUGUGUCUUGCCUUUCGGUGCUCUACUGCAGUUGCGAUGCACACCAGCAGCCGCCUUGCUAAGUUUGAGGUGCGAGGAACAAGGCUGAUGAGAGAAAUCACAGCCCCAUUGGUGUUACAAAAUCUGCGCUGUGGUUUAUUGUGCAGAAUCUUUAAGCAUGUGAGCACACGCUUCUCCCAAAACUUCUCAUACCCAGCAUCUUUUUCAGAUUAUCUUUUCCUUUUUGUCCUGUUAGUAGUAUUAGAAGUUAUUCCAUGUUACUGUACCCCCAGGAACCAGACUGUUAGAGGAAUGCCAGUUUCCUUUGCUGUGUAGCCUGAGUUGGAGAGAAAUUUGAAAAAUACAUCAGACUGAGUAUCCAGUGAGCUGUUCUUCCCUAGUUGCAGCGUAUAGCAAUGGUUCCCGCAAACCACCAUCCCACAAAGAAUAUAAAUUAAGAGUCCAAGUCCCUCUUUUCCCUUACCCAGUAAGGUAACCUAGUCAUUACCCUGUCCUUGCGACAGUAUUCAUAGUUUAGCUCAGAUGGGUUGUAAAUGUGUUUUGAAUUUCCAUGGCUCUGGGAAGCCUCUCCUCCACCUCGAGGCUCUCAUCUGCCCUGUUCAGACAUGUAGGGCUGCAUAUUUAGUGCCUCUUCAGCACUGUAUAGGAACUUCUGGUCUGAUUUAGGUAGAAGUAUGACAAAAAUGUGGUAACUGGUGAUCUGGUGCUUUGAAAAGCAAUCUGGAGUGCAGCAAAUGGGAAUAAUGUAGGGUUUUUUUAAGGAGUUUAAGAAGUUAAAAGAGAAGACAAGUUAGGGGGAGAAUGCUUCCAUCUAUUUCCAUAACUUCUGCCAGGGGUUGAGGCACGCUCCCUGUGAUCAUGGGUGCAGCUAUCACCAGAAUAGGGCAUCAUCAGUUUUACUAGCCAAAAGGGUGUAGCAUGCUAUGACAGAAAAGAGAUUAUAUCAUUUUUCUAUUCGACAGAUAUGUUUGUGCUGCAAAUCUUGAGUCAUACACUGAUGCUUUUUAGGGGGCAGUAGAAAAGAUCUGUUAUUAUGAAAGCACAUGUUGCAACAGAUGAAAACGCAAGGAUACAGUACUGCCAGUGCCACCCAUCCAGUCAUACCGUAUUUUUUUUUAUUCUGAACUUCUAGCUGUUCUGCACAUUCUUUGUCUCUUUGCUGACCUCCACUGGGUCACAUUAUUUAACCUUUCAGAAAUUUCCACAAAGUAGCUCUAACAAACUUUGCUGUGUCAUUAUCAGGAGGACCUCUCAACGUGGUGCUAGCUAACUGUGGAGCACACUAGUGGAGCAGUGGGGAACAUCUGGAAGGAAUACAACCAGCAUCAGCUCUGCCACAUCAUUUACUCCACUGAAACGUAUUUAACAGAGGCUUGCUCACUUGGGUCUUUUCUAGGCUAGUGUUCAGGGCCGUGAACGAGGUGCAAGGAAGAAUUUCUAAAAACUUGCUGAAGAUCCUUGCCAGCAGAGGCUUAUUGCUUCAAGGAUGUGCUUCCUCUGUGUGGCUUUAGAGGAGGUGUUUUGAUCUUUCAUUCACAGAAGUAGUGGGGGAGCUGAUGGUCAUUAACUAGCCCCAGGAUGCAAAAAUAGUUAUGGGAUUUUGAACUGGAGGGAAACAAGGAACAGCUUGCUUAAGAUUCAUUUUCUUAUGGAUAUGGUAUGAGAUCUGUAAGGAUUUUCAUGUUCUUCAAGUAACCAGCUUUUGUGAAAGCUAUGAAGAGUGUAAGAGAUGUUUUGUUCUACUUUUACCCGAGCCCAUUGCUGUUUAUAUUUGCCAGCUUGAUCACUGAACAAUGAAAGCUAAAAAGCACAGAACAGUUAGAAGCUGUCUAGGAGGUGACGGGCAUAAUUUUUGGUGAAUUGCCA